rnacentral:rRNA from 1 species
UACAGAGGUCUCAAGCGUUGUUCGGAUUCAUUGGGCGUAAAGGGUGCGUAGGCGGCCUGUUAAGUCGAACGUGAAAUCCCCGGGCUCAACCCGGGAACUGCGUCCGAUACUGGCAGGCUUGAAUCCGGGAGAGGGAUGCGGAAUUCCAGGUGUAGCGGUGAAAUGCGCAGAUAUCGGGAGGAACACCGGUGGCGAAGGCGGUUCUAGCUGGGCCUGACCUGACGCUGAGGAGCGAAAGCGUGG